CCCUUGCGGGGAAAGAUUUAUCGCCGAAAGAUCGGCCCGCGUCUGAUUAGCUAGUUGGUGAGGUAAUGGCUCACCAAGGCGACGAUCAGUAGCUGGUCUGAGAGGAUGAUCAGCCACAUUGGGACUGAGACACGGCCCAAACUCCUACGGGAGGCAGCAGUGGGGAAUAUUGGACAAUGGGCGCAAGCCUGAUCCAGCCAUGCCGCGUGAGUGAUGAAGGCCCUAGGGUUGUAAAGCUCUUUUGUGCGGGAAGAUAAUGACGGUACCGCAAGAAUAAGCCCCGGCUAACUUCGUGCCAGCAGCCGCGGUAAUACGAAGGGGGCUAGCGUUGCUCGGAAUCACUGGGCGUAAAGGGUGCGUAGGCGGGUCUUUAAGUCAGGGGUGAAAUCCUGGAGCUCAACUCCAGAACUGCCUUUGAUACUGAAGAUCUUGAGUUCGGGAGAGGUGAGUGGAACUGCGAGUGUAGAGGUGAAAUUCGUAGAUAUUCGCAAGAACACCAGUGGCGAAGGCGGCUCACUGGCCCGAUACUGACGCUGAGGCACGAAAGCGUGGGGAGCAACAGGAUUAGAUACCCUGGUAGUCC
rnacentral:rRNA from 1 species